UCGCGGAAAUUCGACAGUUGACCGGGUCUGUGAAAUUCCGGCCCGACAGACCCGUUACCGGAAAAGUCUCCGAAUUGGAUCGAGGUUUUGGCUACCCCACCAUUGUCAGGCAUCCCGAGCGCGUUCCCGAAGUCGGAAUCGGCAAAGGUGAGCCGGGACAGCCUUCUUCCUCCGCCCAGCCGCCACAGUAAUUUGUCGUCAAGUUUGCCACAGGAGGAUAUUUUGUUCUGGGUUAACCUGCUUUUAUACUUCGCAGGUUGUUUAUCGAUAUUUGUGUAAUUUUAUUUACUCCUAGAAUUUUCGCAUGUGUUAGCAGUAAUUAUUUGAAUUUGGUCUGUAAUAUUAUAUUCAUGUUGGACCUGUAAACUUAAUAUUUUAAGUCUGUUUGAUGGAUUGGAUGAGGGAGCUGAGCUCCCAUUUAUUAUUA